rnacentral:rRNA from 1 species
AAGCACUUGCUACCAGACACACUUGCAGCUAAUCAGCCUUCAUUUUUGGAGGUGCACUUGGUUGUAUGUGGGUCAGCAUCAGUUACGGCGGAGGGAUAAAGAUCCAAGGAAUGUGGCUCCUCUCGGGGAGUGUUAUAGCCCGCCGUGUAAUACCCUGGGGGGGACUGAGGUUCGCGCAUCUGCAAGGAUGCUGGCGUAAUGGUC